GGUGGGUUGGCUUGUCAGGUUGAUUCCGGUAACGAACGAGACCUCAGCCUGCUAAAUAGUAGCUCUCGGUUCGCCGGGAGGCAGACUUCUUAGAGGGACUAUUAGCGACUAUCAGCUAAUUGAAGUAUGAGGCAAUAACAGGUCUGUGAUGCCCUUAGAUGUUCUGGGCCGCACGCGCGCUACACUGACGCAAUCAACGAGCCUCCUGGUCUCGAGAGGACCGGGUAAUCUUGUAAACUGCGUCGUGAUGGGGCUAGAGCUUUGUAAUUAUUGCUCUUUAACGAGGAAUGCCUAGUAAGCGCGAGUCAUCAGCUCGCGU
rnacentral:rRNA from 2 species